AGUCUCUGCGUCUGAGAUGAUCCACGUGAGUUUUCUGCUGCUGGAAAGGUGAAACAUUGACCCCGAGUAGUAAAACGGUCUGCUGCUCAGGACUGAACUGUGAUUGCCAUUAAGGGUCAUUGUGGUUCUCAGGAAACCCCCUGAUCUGCUGUUGUCAGGCCGAGCGGAGUGUUUCCUCGCUGUGAUCCAGGGAGCUGUUGAGCUUCACUUGAGCUCAAUGCUUCAAAACAUAAAUGUUAGAGCUGCUUCCUUAAUGUGCUGUGCAGUGGAAGUCUCUCGCUCGCGGCCUGCGUGACCCACAGCUCCUGAACCUCAGCUGCCACUGAGAGCUUUAACCCACAUUCUUACAGACCGGACACGCCAUAUUUUUACUGAAUGCAGUGGGAAUAUUUCAACUACUGUGCUGAUAAUGUUACGCAAUCUGCCUGAAACACAGCACCGUUGAUCCAUUAUUUGACAGUAAAUUUGGGCCUGGACUUGAGUGGCCUCGCAUGCCUCUUCAGCCAAUUGUCUUGAAGUUUCUGGACACUACGCUCAUGUUAGGUAUGGCUUAUACCCACAUAACAGGCUCAAUUCAUCACUCUAG